rnacentral:rRNA from 1 species
GUGCAGCAGUCGCGAAAACUCCGCAAUGUGGGAAACCACGACGGGGGAACUCCCAGUGCGUGCGCUUUGCGUACGCUGUUCCCUUGUCUAAAAACCAGGGGAAGUAAGGGGCGGGUAAGACGGGUGCCAGCCGCCGCGGUAAUACCCGCGCCCCGAGUGGUGCUCCUUAUUAUUGAGUCUAAAGCGUCCGCAGCCGGUUUGGCAGAUGCCUGGGUAAAUCGAAUCGCUUAACGAUCCGAAUUCCGGGUAGACCGCCAAACUUUGGACCGGGAGAGGUUGGAGGUACUUCUGGGGUAGGGGUAAAAUCCUGUAAUCCUAGGAGGAGCACCAGUGGCGAAAGCGUCCAACUAGAACGGAUCCGACGGUAAGGGACGAAGCCCAGGGGCGCAAACGGGAUUAGAUACCCCGGUAGUCC